rnacentral:rRNA from 1 species
UAGGGAAUCUUCCGCAAUGGGCGAAAGCCUGACGGAGCAACGCCGCGUGAGUGAAGAAGGAUUUCGGUUCGUAAAGCUCUGUUGUUAGGGAAGAAUGAUUGUGUAGUAACUAUACACAGUAGAGACGGUACCUAACCAGAAAGCCACGGCUAACUACGUG